rnacentral:rRNA from 1 species
AGUGAACGCUGGCGGUAGGCCUAACACAUGCAAGUCGAACGGCAGCACAGUAAGAGCUUGCUCUUACGGGUGGCGAGUGGCGGACGGGUGAGGAAUACAUCGGAAUCUACUUUUUCGUGGGGGAUAACGUAGGGAAACUUACGCUAAUACCGCAUACGACCUACGGGUGAAAGCAUGGGAUCUUCGGACCUUGCGCGAUUGAAUGAGCCGAUGUCGGAUUAGCUAGUUGGCGGGGUAAAGGCCCACCAAGGCGACGAUCCGUAGCUGGUCUGAGAGGAUGAUCAGCCACACUGGAACUGAGACACGGUCCAGACUCCUACGGGAGGCAGCAGUGGGGAAUAUUGGACAAUGGGCGCAAGCCUGAUCCAGCCAUACCGCGUGUGUGAAGAAGGCCUUCGGGUUGUAAAGCCCUUUUGUUGGGAAAGAAAAGCAGCAGGUUAAUACCACGCUGUUCUGACGGUACCCAAAGAAUAAGCACCGGCUAACUUCGUG